UGUGUCAUUUCUUAACCAUACAUCAUUAAACAGCAUGAUCAAUACACAGGUGCUGCUGUGUCAUUUCUUACCCAUACAUCAUUAAACAGCAUGAUCAAUACACAGGUACAGCUGUGUCAUUUCUUAACCAUACAUCAUUAAACAGCAUGAUCAAUACACAGGUGCUGCUGUGUCAUUUCUUACCCAUACAUCAUUAAACAGCAUGAUCAAUACACAGGUGCUGCUGUGUCAUUUCUUAACUAUACAUCAUUAAACAGCAUGAUCAAUACACAGGUGCUGCUGUGUCAUUUCUUACCCAUACAUCAUUAAACAGCAUGAUCAAUACACAGGUACAGCUGUGUCAUUUCUUAACUAUACAUCGUUAAACAGUUACACCUGUGUACAUAUAUCGCUUCCAACGCCGUUUUAGGGGGUUUGGCAGUACAUCCAACCGGACUCACAACUGCAGACCACGUGUGUGGCGUAGAGUAGGAAAGUGGUUUGCUGAUGUCAACGUAGUGAACAUGGUCGCGGUGGGAUUAUGGUAUGGGCAGGCAUAAACUACGGACAACAAACACAAUUGCAUUUAAUCAAUGACAGUGUUACUGCACAGACAUACCGUGACGAAAUCCUGAGGCCCAUUGUCGUGCCAUUCUUCCGCUGUAAUCUCCUCACGUUUCAGCAUGCUAAUGCACUGCUCCAUGUCGUAAGGAUCUGUACACAAUUCCUGGAGGCAGUUCUUCCAUGGCCUGCAUACUCGCCAGGCAGGUCACCUAUCGAGUAUGGCAUGUAAAUAUCGGUUCCCUAAGGACCACGCUGUCAUCAACUGUUUUAAUGUAUUUUAAUGUGUUUUAUGGACUCUUGAAAGAUGAGUCCCAUUGAGGACUAAAAUAUCCUAAUAAAAUGUUUUGUGAAGGCUA